CACUCCUGCGGGAGGCAGCAGUGGGGAAUAUUGGACAAUGGGCGCAAGCCUGAUCCAGCCAUGCCGCGUGAGUGAUGAAGGCCCUAGGGUUGUAAAGCUCUUUCACCGGUGAAGAUAAUGACGGUAACCGGAGAAGAAGCCCCGGCUAACUUCGUGCCAGCAGCCGCGGUAAUACGAAGGGGGCUAGCGUUGUUCGGAUUUACUGGGCGUAAAGCGCACGUAGGCGGACUAUUAAGUCAGGGGUGAAAUCCCGGGGCUCAACCCCGGAACUGCCUUUGAUACUGGUAGUCUUGAGAUCGAGGGAGGUGAGUGGAAUUCCGAGUGUAGAGGUGAAAUUCGUAGAUAUUCGGAGGAACACCAGUGGCGAAGGCGGCUCACUGGCUCGAUACUGACGCUGAGGUGCGAAAGCGUGGGGAGCAAACAGGAUUAGAAACCCUGGUAGUCCC
rnacentral:rRNA from 1 species